rnacentral:rRNA from 1 species
AACGAACGCUGGCGGCAGGCCUAACACAUGCAAGUCGAGCGCGCCCUUCGGGGUGAGCGGCGGACGGGUGAGUAACGCGUGGGAACGUGCCCUUCUCUGCGGAAUAGCCUCGGGAAACUGAGAGUAAUACCGCAUACGCCCUUUGGGGGAAAGAUUUAUCGGAGAAGGAUCGGCCCGCGUUGGAUUAGGUAGUUGGUGGGGUAAUGGCCCACCAAGCCGACGAUCCAUAGCUGGUUUGAGAGGAUGAUCAGCCACACUGGGACUGAGACACGGCCCAGACUCCUACGGGAGGCAGCAGUGGGGAAUCUUAGACAAUGGGGGCAACCCUGAUCUAGCCAUGCCGCGUGAGUGAUGAAGGCCUUAGGGUUGUAAAGCUCUUUCAGCGGGGAAGAUAAUGACGGUACCAGCAGAAGAAGCCCCGGCUAACUCCGU